GCCUACGGGGGGCAGCAGUGAGGAAUAUUGGUCAAUGGGCGGAAGCCUGAACCAGCCAAGUCGCGUGAGGGAAUAAGGCCCUACGGGUCGUAAACCUCUUUUGCCGGGGAGCAAGGGCGGGGACGUGUCCCGGCCCGGAGAGUACCCGGAGAAAAAGCAUCGGCUAACUCUGUGCCAGCAGCCGCGGUAAUACGGAGGAUGCGAGCGUUAUCCGGAUUUAUUGGGUUUAAAGGGUGCGUAGGUUGUUUCUUAAGUCAGCGGUGAAAGUUUGUGGCUCAACCAUAGAAUUGCCGUUGAAACUGGAA
rnacentral:rRNA from 1 species